rnacentral:rRNA from 1 species
GCGUGCCUAACACAUGCAAGUCGAACGAGAAAGUGGAGCAAUCCAUGAGUAAAGUGGCGACCGGGUGAGUAACACGUGACUAACCUACCCUCGAGUGGGGAAUAACCUCGGGAAACCGAGGUUAAUACCGCAUAACAUCGCAAGAUCAAAGCAGCAAUGCGCUUGAGGAGGGGGUCGCGGCUGAUUAGCUAGUUGGUAGGGUAAUGGCCUACCAAGGCUUAGAUCGGUAGCCGGCCUGAGAGGGCGCACGGCCACACUGGAACUGAAACACGGUCCAGACUCCUACGGGAGGCAGCAGUGGGGAAUUUUGCGCAAUGGGGGAAACCCUGACGCAGCAACGCCGCGUGGAGGAUGAAGUCCCUUGGGACGCAAACUCCUUUCGACCGGGACGAUACUGACGGUACCGGAAGAAGAAGCACCGGCUAACUCUGUGCCAGCAGCCGCGGUAAUACAGAGGGUGCGAGCGUUGUUCGGAAUUAUUGGGCGUAAAGGGCGCGUAUGCGGCGCGGUAUGUCACCUGUGAAAUCUCCUGGCUCAACUGGGAGCUUGCAGGCGAAACUGCCGUGCUGGAGUGUGGGAGAGGUGCGUGGAAUUCCCGGUGUAGCGGUGAAAUGCGUAAAUAUCGGGAGGAACACCUGUGGCGAAAGCGGCGCACUGGACCAC